rnacentral:tRNA from 1 species
AAUUUUAUUAGUAUAAAAAAGUACGUUUGUUUUCCAAACAAUUGGUUUAAAUAGUUUAAAUAAAAU